UUUUUUUUAAAGUUUUUCUAUUAGAAAAUAACAGUUUUUUUAUUAAUUUUUAAAAUAAAUUAAUAUUACUUUUAAAUUUUUAUCGUAUAACCCUAACAAGAAAGCUAAGCCAAAUUUAAUUUUUUAAAUAUGAAUUUCUCAUCCCUAGAAUCCAUAUGCGAUUACAGCUCUAGAACGAUCAUCUCUUCGUUUGCAACAACGAUGGCCUCUUCGUUUGUAAUAAUGAUCAUGAAACCCAAGGAAAAGAAGAAAUCGCUAGAUUUUAUUGCAAAAGAAAUCCAAAUCAACGAAAAAUUCCAGCAAAUCCAAUUCUCACAACAACAAUUCAGAUGUAGCUCCUUCUGUCCCCAACCAGUUGCCCUCAUAUGCCACAUUAGAUUAUUUUUGAGGUCUCUCGUGUACUUUAUCAGAGAUCCUCAAUUUCAAACCCAUUCUUCAAUCUUUCAAUACAGACAUCGCCCUUGCCGUCGAUGAUUGGCCUUCGAAGGUCUCCAAGUCCUCAAAGUCAUCGAUAACUCCCGCCAUACUCUCUCAUUCGCUAGCAUUGCUAACAGGUAACUAUAUAGAUAUAUAUAUUUUAAUUAUAAGGGAUUUUUUGAUUAUUAUCUUAUGUAUGUUUUUAUUUGAGUCUCUGAACAGAGAUGGCUUUAUGGUGGAAUGACAAAAGUUUUGUAGAGGAGUCGAGUAAAACAAGAAAAGUAGGAGACUUCAAGCAAUAUAUACCGGGUAAAAGCAGUGAAGUGAUAUUUGGUGAGGCUUUUGAGAAACAAGGAUGGUUUGAUCUCACUGGUGUUGUAUUAAUUUCUUAUUAAUAGAAUUUCUCGAAUUUCAUGUAUUGUGAUAAUUUUGCAAUUAUAUGGACCUUAUGGUUGUACUAAUUUUAUUUACCAUGAUAUUGAUGUAGUCAUAUAGACCUUAUGCUUUGUAGAAUCUCCAACUUAGUCAUAAGAAAGAGGUAGCAAAAUUUUUCAAUUGCACAAUUACAAAUGUUGAAUGCGCCUCUAGCAAAGUUUACAUGGACUAAAUAAAUACUAAGGGAAGAUAGAAAGCUUAUAGAAAUUAGGAAAACCAAUGCCAAAGAGUCUUGUUGAGGUAUUAUUAUUCUUGAUCUAUGAAGUUUUGCUACUCUUUAGUUUUAUUUAUUACAUUUUUUUUAUGUUUUUGCACUUGAUAUAUAUGUGCAUUGUAGUUGUGUUGCGGUAACUCUCUUAUUAUAGAAUAUAUGAUCGUGUGAGAAUUUAUGGUGAAGUUGUUACUUUUAGUUUCUUAAUAUUUAUUUGGAAAUAAAAUGAACCAAACUUCUUCCCAUGAUCUUUAUUAACUUCAGGUGUAAAAGCUCAUAGGAUCUACACCAUUAGAUAUUGCCAAGUCUAAUUUGGCGAAGAAUGGUCAAAUAACUGAAUAAGUAAGAAUGUGGUUUGCCCAUGUGACUCUAAACAGAGAUAUAAAAGGUACUGCUGGGAGAAUUAAAGUGAUUGAAGAUGUUUUUCGCUCUUCAAAAGUUCCCUAAAUUAACAAGCAUGAAAUGGAGAUUUUGAUAUAUAUUUGGAACUCUUGGAGUCAACUUUAAGAUCUUAGAUAGGUGUGAACUCAUUUUUAGAAUAAGAAAAUUUGUGACCAGAUUGUCAGAAUUGUUGAACUAAUUUUUAGCCGGAUGUUCUGAUUUUUUUAAGAAAACAGUUUGUUAGAUUUGUUUUAUUUUAAAAAUCAUUUAUAUUUAAAACAGUUUUUUUAAAGAGUAGAAUGUACUGAUUUUUUUUUAAAGGAAUAUUUUAUAAAUUAUUUUUAAAUUUUAAUA